AAAGGACUCUAACAGAGCUUGAGGAAGAAUUCUUUGUCAGCACAGUCCAUCAUCAAUCAGUGGAGAAAACUGCCUGAACUUCUACUUUUCCAAAAAGGCAAAGCUUUUAUCCAAGGAAGUAGAACUUACUCUCAGCCAUGGUGGACCCUCAAAGAGCAGAUCAUGGGUGCCCAGAAGAGCCAAAACAGUUUUGGGAAAGCAAGAAUAGAGUGGAAUGAUUCAUACUUCUUGGCGCAGCAACAGU